UACGUAGGGGGCUAGCGUUGUCCGGAAUCAUUGGGCGUAAAGCGCGCGUAGGCGGCCCGGUAAGUCCGCUCUGAAAGUCCGGGGCUCAACCCUGGAAAGCGGGUGGAUACUGCCGGGCUAGAGUCCGGAAGAGGCGAGUGGAAUUCCUGGUGUAGCGGUGGAAUGCGCAGAUAUCAGGAGGAACACCGGUGGCGAAGGCGGGUCUCUGGGCCGAUACUGACGCUGAGGAGCGAAAGCGUGGGGAGCGAACAGG
rnacentral:rRNA from 1 species